rfam:Gossypium raimondii Chr12_contig_703, whole genome shotgun sequence.
CUUGGAGAAGCGUUUUGCCUACGUGGACAAAAACCGCUCCCUUAAGGGCGCGCUUUAUGUCCAAGUAGGCAAAACGCUUCCUCAAGG